rnacentral:rRNA from 1 species
GUGCCAGCCGCCGCGGUAAUACGAAGGGGGCUAGCGUUGUUCGGAAUUACUGGGCGUAAAGCGCGCGUAGGCGGUUUCGUCAGUCAGGGGUGAAAUCCCGGGGCUCAACCUCGGAAUUGCCUUUGAUACUGCGAAACUUGAGUCCGUGAGAGGGUGGUGGAAUAUCCAGUGUAGAGGUGAAAUUCGUAGAUAUUGGAUGGAACACCAGUGGCGAAGGCGGCCACCUGGCACGGUACUGACGCUGAGGUGCGAAAGCGUGGGGAGCAAACAGGAUUAGAUACCCCGGUAGUCC